UGCUAAGCGUAUACGGGCGCACGACGGAUGCCUUGGCAUCAGGAGGCGAUGAAGGACGCGGAAGACUGCGAUAAGCUUCGGGGAGCUGUCAACAAGCAUUGAUCCGGAGAUUUCCGAAUGGGGCAACCCAUCACCUUUCAUAGGGUGAUAUCGUUGGAUGAAUCAAAUAGUCCAACGAAGCGACACGUGGGGAAGUGAAACAUCUCAGUACCUACAGGAAAAGAAAUCAACCGAUAUUGCGUAAGUAGUGGCGAGCGAAAGCGCAGGAGCCUAAACCAGAGAGCUUGCUUUCUGGGGUUGCGGGACCAGGUCGUGGUAUCAAGAAGGUUAGGCGAAGCAGCUGGAAAGCUGCGCCAUAGUGGGUGAUAGCCCUUUAACCGAAAACCUCUCUUGGACCUACUGGGAUCCCAAUUAGGGCGGAGCACGUGAAACUCCGUCUGAAUCCGGGGGGACCACCCUCCAAGGCUAAAUACUCCCUGAUGACCGAUAGGGAACUAGUACCGCGAGGGAACGGCGAAAAGAACCGCUGUUAGCGGAGUGAAACAGACCUGAAAUCGUGCGUCCACAAGCUAUGGAAGCGUCCUUCGGGACGCGACCGUUUGCCUUUUGCAUAAUGAGUCCGCGAGUCACCGUGGCGAGCGAGCAUAACCGAAAGGGGAUGCGAAGCGAAAGCGAGUUCGAACAGGGCGAUCCUAGUUCGUCGCGGUGGACCCGAAGCCCAUGCGAGCUAUCCUUGGACAGCGUGAAGCCCCUGUAACAGGGGGUGGAGGUGCGAACGAGUGACCGUUGAAAAGGUCUUCGAGGAGCUGAGGAUAGGAGCGAAAGACUUAUCAAGCUGGGUAAUAGCUGGUUCUCUCCGAAAUGCCUUUAGGGGCAGCGUCGGGCAAUACUUCCAGCGGGUGUAGAGCACUGAUCGAUCUAGGGCCCCUACCGGGGUACCGAAGUCCGUCAAACUCCGAAGACCGCUGCGAUUGCAUACCCGGCAGUGAGACAGUGGGGGCUAAGCUUCAUUGUCGAAAGGGAAACAGCCCAAGACCGCCGAAUAAGGUCCCAAAUCGACGUUAAGUCACUAAGGCAGUGAGGUCUCUCAGACAGGUAGGAUGUUGGCUUAGAGGCAGCCAUCAUUUAAACAGUGCGUAACAGCUGACUACUCGAGAGACCCCGCGCCGAAAAUGAUCGGGAGUCAAACGUCGAACCGAAUUCGCGGGCCGUGACUUUGUCACGACGGUAGGAGAGCGUAGUACGCAGCGUCGAAGCGGUGCGCGGAAGCGGCCGUGGAGCGCGUACUAGUGAUUAUGCGGACAUGAGUAACGAAAAACCGGGUGGAAAUCCCGGUCGCCGGAAUCCCAAGGUUUCCCGGGGCAGGUUCGUCCGCCCGGGGUCAGUCGGCACCUAAGGUGAGGCCGAAAGGCGUAAUCGAUGGACAGCAGGUUAAUAUUCCUGCACUGGCGGGGGUUUAAGUUUGGCUUGGAGAAGGACAGUGACGGGGGUUAAUGGCUAUCCCCUGUACGUGCCGGAAGGUACGGACUGAGCGUCGGGUUCGCCCGGUGCAAGGCCAUGCGUCCAUGCUUCCCAGAAAAGGCCUUAUGUAUUAACCCGUCAGCCGUACCAAAACCGACACAGGUGGGAGGGUACAAA
rnacentral:rRNA from 1 species